AACCUCAGCCCGAAUUGUCACCGUAUGGUGUGCGUGCCGAAAGGCUAGGGCUGAGGUUUUUA
rnacentral:sRNA from 12 species